rfam:Bacterium TMED88 isolate TMED88 MHASMcontig_369914, whole genome shotgun sequence.
UGGGGUAUAGCCAAGUGGCAAGGCAUCGGUUUUUGGUACCGACAUUCGAUGGUUCGAAUCCAUCUACCCCAA